rnacentral:tRNA from 1 species
GGAGGACCAUGGGCCAGUGGAAAAGCAUCUGCUUGUAAUGUGGAAGGUUCCAGGUUCAAACCCUGGUAUCUCCA